rnacentral:tRNA from 3 species
GCGGUGAUACCCAAGAGGCUCAAGGGGCGCCCCUGCUAAGGGCGUAGACGUGUUACAGCGUGCGAGGGUUCAAAUCCCUCUCACCGCGCCA